rnacentral:miRNA from 1 species
CAAUUUCUGGAUUUCAGUUCG